rnacentral:sRNA from 1 species
CCCGGCACUGCCGUGCCGGGCUUUCCCAUUACGCCGCUGCGCGGCU